UCUCCGUCGGUGAACCAGCGGAGGGAUCAUUACCGAGUUUACAACUCCCAAACCCAAUGUGAACCAUACCAAACUGUUGCCUCGGCGGGGUCACGCCCCGGGUGCUUCGCAGCCCCGGAACCAGGCGCCCGCCGGAGGGACCAACCAAACUCUUUCUGUAGUCCCCUCGCGGACGUUAUUUUUACAGCUCUGAGCAAAAAUUCAAAAUGAAUCAAAACUUUCAACAACGGAUCUCUUGGUUCU
rnacentral:misc_RNA from 1 species